rnacentral:rRNA from 1 species
UACGUAGGUGGCAAGCGUUAUCCGGAAUUAUUGGGUACGUAAGCGCGCGCAGGCGGUUUCUUAAGUCUGAUGUGAAAGCCCACGGCUCAACCGUGGAGGGUCAUUGGAAACUGGGGAACUUGAGUGCAGUAAGAGAAAAGCGGAAUUCCACGUGUAGCGGUGGAAAUGCGUAGAGAUGUGGAGGAACACCAGUGGCGAAGGCGGCUUUUGGUCUGUAACUGACGCUGAGGCGCGAAAGCGUGGGAGCAAACAGG